UUUUUCUUUGGGUUAAAGAAUUAAAAACUUCCGGCGACAAAUUCGGACAAAUACAGAGAUGAACAAGGAACAUUUCCUCAGUUUCGUCCAGUGUCUGAAGUCUGUCAACGAUGAUCGGAAUUUAGAGCAGUCUGUUUCCAUGGUGUGAAGUCACACAUUGAGAAGAAACUACUCCGCAAGCUUUCUCACAGAAAACCACAGACCUGAAACUGGCCAGUAUCCUGAACAUAGCUGUAAUGGACCAGUCUAUACACCAGACCUCUUCUGUCCAUAUCAGACCUGCUUUGUGUAACAGUCUUCUGUGUUAGAGUGCCUCAACUUUAAAAUAUUCCUGGUAAUUCAUCUGCUGAAACGAUUGGUGGUUUAUAAGCUUAAUUUUUUUUCUUUAAUUGUUUUCAUUGGCAUUUUUGUCCAAGUCUUUUAACCUUGACCACUACCAAAAAAUAUUCAAUAUAUACACAUGAAAUCGAGUGCACAUGUUCAGUGGCAAUGCAAUGACCAACAUUUAUUCCACUGCCACAUACAUAUUGCAGUAUGCAUAAAUACACAAUAUAUGUACAGUCGAAAGCCAUUGGCUCGAGGGACCGGCAAAAAUACUUCGAGCCUCGAGAAUAUCGAGCCAAGCGGGAUUGCUUAUUAAAUGUGUAUUUUUUAAUGCGUUAAAGAAAGACUUAUUAACCUCGUUUGUAAUUUGCUACGUUAUAUCUGCAAGAGUAUUUAUUGCCGUACACACUUCGUACAGUUCACAACAUGCCGCAUUUGAUACUAUGAAAUCAUUUUUUUUUUUAUUCAUUUACGCAAUAAAAUAUAAACCCAUCCAUACGAAAACAAUAAACAAGCAAUCUUUACACUGAGUUAGGAACACAUACGAAUAUCUUAGGCUGGAUUGGGUCCUUCUCUAGAUUGCUCAGCAUUUGAUAUUUGUAUGAAUUCUUCCAUUUGGAGAAACAUUCAGCGCAGUAUUUUUAUGUGAAGACGCCUUAUCAAAAUGCAUUGAGAAUUAUACAUGAAGUGACAUACUUUUGACGUUUGUACUCUUGCCAAUUAGAGACCGAAAUUAAAGUGAUAGCAUGUUUGCUCAAACUGUUUUAUUCAUUUAAAUUUUAUAAUAAUUUUGAUACCAAUCAAGAAAAUCUAAUCGAUCAGUGCCUCGGCAUAAUGAAGUCAGGCAAACAAAUCAUGGUGUAAAAUUCAUACCUGACCUCGCAAAAAUGACAUCGAGCAAAGCAAACAAAACAAAAGGUGAAGUUCUUACUACGGACCGCGAAAAUGACAUCAAGAGUGGAGAAACAUCGACCCUCAAGAUAUCAACCCAUCCGAUCAAGUUAUAUAAACAUAGAGUAAAAACAAAUCAGUCCUUUUAAUCAGGUUCGAGCCAACGAGGAUAUUGAGCUUUGCGAUAUCGAGCCUACGAGUUUCGACUGUAUAACAUUGGAUGUCAAUACAAUGUGCUCAUACUAAGUAGGGCCUAUAACUCUGCUGUUAAUAAUUGUUGAGUUAUGCCCCUUUUUCAAUGAAAACCCCCAUAAAUCGUGGGCGUCUCCUUACAGUGCUCUAAGCUUUAACCUCAAGUAUUAAAAGUCUUGAAAAAUUGAAAAAAAUAUUGUGAAUAUUAUAGUUCAUCAAGUCUUUAUGGCUUAGUUUAAGGAAUGCCUGGCUUGUUAAUCUCCAGCUAUGCAUUCCCUGUGCAUAGCCUUGGUGUCACAGCAGGGUGCUGUAUUUCCUGUUUGUUGUUUAAUCGCUAAUCACUAACUCAGGGAAUUGUUCAUAGAAAAAGGGCUGUAUUGGUUGUGCUAUGGCUGAUCAGUAUUCAUGUAACAGAGAACAGACAGCAGACGGCAAUAACAAUUAGGACCAAUUAACAACGUUGUGUUAUGUUCAUUUUAAAAGAAGGAAAAAUUAGAGGUGUAAUUAUAUUAGCAUCCAGCUACCUCAUAUAUAUAUCAUGCAUCCAACAUAAAUGACGCAAUGCCAUUGGUUCAGGACUGAUUGUGCGGUGACCCCAUAUAUUUCCAUAUUGGGUCACCAAAUUUAUAUCGUACCAAAAUAGUGUCUAUUUUCAAAUUCCGAUGAGUAUUCGGAUGAAUAAAUGAAACAUUUAAACAUGUUGUCGACGAGACAUACCGGUAUACGUUACGGGGUUAGUAGGUGAGCCUAAUUGGGAUAUAUGGGGCAAAGGAAACCUUAUUCGGGUUCAAGAUUCACUCCCAACCGAUAUUGUUUCCUUUGCCCCGUAUUUCCCAUAUCGGGUCACCUACUAGCCCCGUAACUUAUAAUAUAUAUACAUCAUAUUUGCUGUUUUAAUGUAUCUUCAUGAAAUACAAAUGCUUACACUAACUUUCUGCAAUACCCGGAAUUGUCACUUGAAGAAUAUUUAAACUAGGCCUGUAUUUAAUGGUUCCAUACUAUUCUUGAAUAAAUCAAGUUCGUAUACACUGACUUCGGCUACCAUGGUAUGUAACUACAUUAACAUGGCAUUAACUAUUCUGGCCUUAAUUUGGGGUUUUUAUGUUCAAAAGUUAUGUUUGCUGUCUGUUUCCGAUUAUCUUCAACUAAAUACUUAUCUAGUGUAAAUUGUAGCAUAAAGGAAAAUCAUAAUUAUCUUCAUGAAAAUAUUGCUUUCUUUCAUUAUUCUGUGUAACAGGCAUUAUGGCCUGAUAUGUAAGUCAACAAAUAUCCUCAUAUAUAAAAUAUGAUUUGAUCCUUUUCCUAGGCUCCAGAGUCUAUUCUGUCCAAAUACAGGAUGAUAUAUAUACAAUGUAGGGGACAUUUUACACAGGAUAAAAAGGGAAGCAAAUCUAGCUGAUGGAACAACAGAAGAUGAUGUGGUCACCUAUAUCUCAGAUUUAUGUGAUCGUGCACGUGAGAGUGACAGUCAACAGCUCCGACAGACGUUACCACGGUUACAGGAGAUUUCCUGCAUCAGCCAGGCCCUAUACAACUGUACACAUGCCAGGCAGGCAACAGACGACUGGUGGGUGGUGCCCAGCAAGAACUGUGUCCCCUGGGUGACUGUAGAUGACCAUACCUUACAGCAGUACAUGGGCAGAUGGACAGUCCUAGUGACCAGCCUUAGACAACAGCCUCUACACAAGCAGUGAAGGAGACCAACUUUCAAUUGCCCGAUAACUUUAUUGGGAGAAUGGAUUCAGAGAUCACCCAAGAGAUGUGGUCAUGAGUGUAUCAAAUGGACGUUAUAGAUAGUGACUGAAAAGAAAUGAUGAUAGCAGAAAAACGAAACCAUCCUGAUAUGGUUCUCUGGUGUUAAAUUAACAGACAAAGUGUUCAUAAUUUGUGGGAAAUAGUGUUAGAGCUAAAAUCUUCUCUGGAAAUGCAAGAUAAAGUGGUGAACUGGAGUAAUUUUACAUAUAACAAGGAACAGAAUCUCGUUGUGAGCUGACUCCUAGAAGGGGAAAACAGAUUUCGGUAUAAAUCAGCUUAUAUGCAGUGUACAGAAAUUUCAGACACAAGUUCCUGAGGGUACUCUGUGCCAAAGCCACCUUUCCCCUCACAAGAGGCUCAUGCCGACAGUCCCUGCAGUUUACUGCAAAGCUCUCAAUUGUAGCCCUACUUCAGAUACUGUGGAUGACGUAUAUCCAGUGCACCGGGCCAGUUUCCCUACCAUGUGGAAUUGACAUCUCCAGCCGAACUAGAGCCAGGAUUAAUAUCAAACUCCUUUACAGCAAGGACUUCUUUCUUGGGUGGAUGGAUUCAGAGAUGACCCCAGAGAUGACCCCAGAGAUGUGGCCUUGAGCGUGUCACAUGGACGUUAAUUGAUAGUGACUGUAAAGAAAUGAUGAUAGCAGAAUCACAAAACUAACUUGAUAUGGUUUUCUGGUGUUAAAUGAACAGAUAAAGUGUUCAUAAGUUGUGUGAAAAUAGUGCCAGAGCUGAAAUCUCUUUUGCCUAUUCAUAGUAAAGUGGUGAACUGGAGAAAUUUUACAUACAACAAAGAAGAGAAUCACAUUGUGAGCUGACACUUUUUCAAAGAUGGCUCUGCCCUCUGCCCAUAUGUGAAGUAACUAUGAAUGACAGUUAAGGGUGCCGUUUUCUGAAGGCAGUUGAAGCUUACCUUAUGAACCCAAAUUUGAAAAUAGAUGUGUAAUCAACUAUCAAAUCGUAUUGACAUCUAUUCAGUGCACAAUUAAAAUAUUAAUGUGUCAGACAAUAUUCAAAUACAAAUCUCAGUUAUGUUUUUCCCCGUUAAAUGCUCUUCUUUAUAAUAUACAACCAAUCAAACAAAUUCAGUACCAAAACUUGCAAUCUUUUGUUUAUCAUUAUGAAUAAAUAAGCGGUUUAACUUUCGCGCCAAAGUACCACAUGACUACACAAAGGGUAGAGCUAGUGGAUAAACAAAAUGAACUCCUAACAUUAUAUACGAAGACAUUAAAUGUCACCCUAGCAUCUGAACGGAAAUGGCCCCUCCUGAUAGUUCACGGAAACAGGGAAAUAAAGCCACACAUUGCAAUUAUAUAUGAAGAUGUUAGUUUGUGGUUAUUUACCUUAUGCAUUUU